rnacentral:tRNA from 1 species
GGUGGUUUGGCUCAGUUGUUGGAGCGUCGGUCUCGUAACCGAAAGGUUGCGAGAUCAAAUCUCGCAGAGGCUG